rnacentral:rRNA from 1 species
UACAGAGGGUGCAAGCGUUAAUCGGAAUUACUGGGCGUAAAGCGUGCGUAGACGGUUAUGUAAGUCAGAUGUGAAAGCCCCGGGCUCAACCUGGGAAUUGCAUUUGAGACUGCAUAGCUAGGGUGCGGAAGAGGGAAGCGGAAUUUCCGGUGUAGCGGUGAAAUGCGUAGAUAUCGGAAAGAACACCAGUGGCGAAAGCGGCUUCCUGGUCCAGCACCGACGUUCAGGCACGAAAGCGUGGGGAGCAAACAGG